UUUAAAUGUUCAUUACGUAGAACUGAAUUCAAAAUUUUGGGACAAUUUUUCUAGCGGUAAGGGAACAACCAUUUGACUUCAAAAGGGGGGGGGGGGGGUGGGGUGGGUUUGGAAAUAUUCCGAUCCCCAAUUUGAUAAAAAAAAAAUGAUCAUACAGAUGAUAAAAGAAAUAUUCUGAAUCAAAGAGUUUCCCCAUACAUUAUAGUGUUAAAUAUUGAAAAAAAAUGUAUUUGAUCACCAGCAUCGAAAAAAAGGAAUAAAAACGUACGCGCGAAAAAAAAAAUCUUACUCAGAUAAAAAAAAAAUAACCCUCCCCC
rnacentral:lncRNA from 1 species